AGAAGUUUGUUCCUGGCUCGGAUUGAACGCGGGCCGUUAUGCUUAACACCAGCAAGUCGAACGGCAGCACGAAGAGAGUUUACUCUCUUCGGUGGCGAGUGGCGGACGGGUGAGUAAUGCAUAGGAAUCUACCUUUUAGUCUAGGAUAACUACCCGAAAGGGUGGCUAAUACUGGAUGUGGACUACGGUUUAAAGCAGGGGACCUUCGGGCCUUGCGCUAAGAGAUGAGCCUAUGUGGGAUUAGCUAGUUGGUGAGGUAAUGACUCACCAAGGCGACGAUCUCUAGCUGGUUUGAGAGGAUGAUCAGCCACACUGGGACUGAGACACGGCCCAGACUCCUACGGGAGGCAGCAGUGGGGAAUAUUGGACAAUGGGUGAAAACCUGAUGGAGCAAUGCCGCGUGAAUGAAGAAGGUCUUCGGAUCGUAAAGUUCUGUUAUUAGAGAAGAACAAGUCAAGGAGUAACUGUCUUGACUUUGACGGUACCUAACCAGAAAGUCACGGCUAACUACGUGCCAGCAGCCGCGGUAAUACGUAGGUGACAAGCGUUGUCCGGAAUUAUUGGGCGUAAAGGGAGCGCAGGCGGUUGGAAUAGUCUGAUGUGAAAGCCCACGGCUUAACCGUGGAAGGUCAUUGGAAACUGUCCAACUUGAAUACAGAAGAGGUAAGUGGAAUUCCAAGUGUAGCGGUGAAAUGCGUAGAUAUUUGGAGGAACACCAGUGGCGAAGGCGACUUACUGGUCUGUAAUUGACGCUGAGGCUCGAAAGCGUGGGUAGCAAACAGGAUUAGAUACCCUGGUAGUCCACGCCGUAAACGAUGAGUGCUAAGUGUUAGGGGGUUUCCGCCCCCUUAGUGCUGGAGUUAACGCAU
rnacentral:rRNA from 1 species